rfam:Atta cephalotes unplaced genomic scaffold scaffold00036, whole genome shotgun sequence.
UAAUCUGCCCUUUUCAGGGCAAUCAAAUAUUUCAUUUCGAAAAAUAU